UUAGUUAAACUUGAAACAUGGUUUUUGAAUUGUGCAUAGUUAAUACAUGGUUUAUGAAUUUUUCCCUUACUCCAACAUGGAAAAAGAUACCCAUUAAUCCUUCAAAUUGCAGUACCCUCGUCACCUUCGCCACACUCCUAUUUUGUAUGGUUUUCUUCAUCUCCUUCAAAUCCCUAUUUUCCCCUUCAAUCCUUCAAAUCUCCACAAAUUUCCGAUCACAUCCCUCUCCACAAUGCACUGCCACCAACUUUAGCGGGUCAUCGGAAAAGUUCUUCUGGUACGCACUGCACAGUGGAUUCCGCAACUAGCUAUAUGAAUUCAAGAACGUGAUUCUACUGGCUUCGAUUUUGAAUUGAACAUUAAUCAUUCCUACUAUACUAGAUGGAACCGGUUUUGGGCCGAGCUAGGUGAAGCCCAUGCCUUAGGCCCACAAAUUUAAGGGCCUAAUUUUAUUUUUUUAAGACCUUAAAUUCCUAAUUCUUUCGUCUUCCGGAGGCAACUAGCGAGAGCCGAAGAACAACAAUCCGUCUUCUCUCUUCUCUCUCAAGUCUCAGCCGUCUGUCGCGCCAAGCCACUCCAUUGCCUGCCGGUAUAAAUAUUAAAAUCAGAUUUCUAUGUACUCCUUCUCUUUUUUUGCAUUGAAGAAUUUCUAAGAUAGUGGAUUGAAUAGGGCUGUUUUAUUGAAAUUUUCCUUUUUUAUUGGUGGUAAUUAAGAUGGAGUUUCAACUUUGG
rnacentral:lncRNA from 1 species